ACGUAGGAGGCGAGCGUUAUCCGGAUUUACUGGGUGUAAAGCGCGUGUAGGCGGUCCUGCAAGUGGCGCGUGAAAGCGCCCGGCUCAACCGGGCGAGGACGUGACCGAACUGCGGGGCUAGAGGCAGGUAGAGGCGUGUGGAAUUCCGGGUGUAGUGGUGAAAUGCGUAGAGAUCCGGAGGAACACCAGUGGCGAAGGCGACACGCUGGGCCUGACCUGACGCUGAGAGGCGAAAGCAUGUGGAGCGAACGGGAUUAGAUACCCCCGUAGU
rnacentral:rRNA from 1 species